rnacentral:tRNA from 1 species
GGCUCGUGUCCGACGGGCCGGUCGGGAACCCUGCUGACAUCAGGGUCAGCUCGGGGUCGCAUCCCGGAGGUGCCC